AUUAUUUCUACUUAAAGCUUUCACUUUGGAAGUGAUAAUAAUAGUAAAAUAACUCUGGUUUCAAAUAGAUGACAAUGGAUUGUUUUUCCUUUUGGAAGAGCCAAAUAGAGUUUAAAAGUUCCCCUGAUUUUGUAUAAGCACCACUACCCACAACAACAACAAAUUAAAACUUGCAAAGCUCCUUCCUUUUGAAAUACUUGAGGAAAGAAUACAGAUAAAAUUGAUAUCUGCAAUGUGUAUUUCUGUAUGUGAGUGCCGGUUCCCACGGAGACCAGGUGCCAGUGGACAUGGAUCCCUUGAAGCUAAAAUUAUAAAUGUGGGUGCAUGGAACCAGAACAUGUGAUAUUGGUUCUGAGAAAUGAACUCAUAUCAAAUCUCAUGUAAGAGCAGAAUACUCAAUUAACUACUGAGCAGUGCCUCUUCAGCCCCUUUCAAGGGAAGCUAUCGAGAGUGUAUCUUUUUAUGUAUAUUCAAAGAACUAAAUUCAUAGCCUGUAGAAAGGUUGACCCUUUAAUGGCUGAACUAUCUCUGCAGCCCAACAUCCACAAUUAUUAUUUUUAAAAAGAUUUAAUUUUUUUAUUUUAUGUGUUUGUUUGAGAACAUGUGUGAAUGUGCACUCUGUGUGUGCCCGAGGAGACCAGAAAAGGGUACCAUUAAUGGAACUGGAAUGAAAGAUGGUGUGAGUUACCAAGAGUGUGCUGGAAACCAAACCCGAGGCCUUUGUAAUAGCAGCAAGUACUCUUAAUUGGUGAGCCAUCUCUCCCAAACCUGUAAUUAUUAUUUAAUAAAAGUGAAAUGCAAUGUAGAGCAAUAGCUUGUUCUUUGUAACUUCUAUGGAGACUCACAUAGUUUAUGUAAGUCUCUGUAAUUCAAGUUCCAUAUUUAAUUUUGCUUAUGAUUAUCAUUAGCUACUAAAAAUGAAUCCCAUUUGUAACAGCAGGAACCCUGUAGGAAAGCUAACUAUGUGCUGUCAGUGGUGAAUAACCUUUCAAUUAUCAUUUUUGAAAUAACUUGCUUAAAAUUAAGCUUCUAUGUGUUCAAGAAUUGAGGCUGAAAAAUAGGUACUGUGAGAAACAAUAAAUCCUGAGUAAACAUACCUGAUCAUAUGAAAAACUCACUUUUGGAGCAUUUUCCUACAUAGUAUGGCAGAAAAAACACCCAAACAAAGCCUGAAAGGUAAAUAGGAUUUUACAGUUUGCAGUUACAAAUCUUAAGUAUCCAUAAAAUAAUGUUUCCUUAAUACUGUUGCUAAGAUCGUGAAAAUACACAACUGAAAAGUUAGGUUACCAUUUUCUUCACUGUUUUCUCUUUCAGAUUUGUACCCACUACAUUAGUUAUUAGAGUUCUGGACCGAAGCUUUCCCUGACUCCAGACCAAGAUGUCAACACUCAGCUUCUAGCUCCAGCCAUCAGUCCUAUGCUCUGUCAUCGUGACUCUUAACCCUCUGGAACUAGCCCUCAUCCAGUGGCUGGUGGAAGCAGAUGCAGACACCCACAGCUAA